UGACGGUGAGGGUCCACCUGUUCCCAUUCCGAACACAGUAGUUAAGCUCACUAGUGCCGAAAAUACUUGGCUGGAGACGGCCUGGAAAGAUAGGAAGAUGCCAACA
rnacentral:rRNA from 1 species